GUUCACCAAGUGGAAAAGCAAUCGCAAACAAAAGGACCUCGCUGUCAUGCCCAGAGGGAUUACUCAGCCACCUGCCCUCCCUGGAGACACACUGCUGAACACCCUUCGUUCCCCAGAGAAAAGCUGGACCAUGGUCUGAUGUGAGGACCAGGAUGCUAAGUAGUGAGAAUCAACUCCUAGAAAUGUCUGAAAGGAUGAACUCCGAGAGCUACCAGCAAGGACUCACAAAAACGCCCCUGUGGAUGCUUGCGGUCUGCCCAUCAAAUACCCACCGGGACACAGCUCUGCCAAUCAAGUGAGGAAGCUCUGCUUACAGCUCUCUGGACCAUCUCAGGGUGCCAGGUGUUAACGGCAGAUCUGCAGAGAAGAGUGCUUCCAGAUGAAGCAAGUCUAAAGCAAAGAGAUGUGGAUCCAUCUUUAGAACUUUCAUCUCUAAUGUGUCUGCAGGAAUUUGCACAAAAAUUUCUUAAUACUAUUAGCGAUUUUCUCCUGAAAGUAAGUUUCCUUUCUAUAAUGUUACUGAUUUCAACGUCUCCCAACUUCACCUCACAGCUCUGCCUUCACCAGCAGCAGGCAUCCCAGGAAUAAAAGACAAAAUGAAUAGUAAACAACAGGAGACCUGAAAUCACAAACAUUGUGAACAAUUACCUGAAAUAUAUUCCUACACAAGGUCAGAGUAUUCCAUGAUUUUAAGGACAUCCUACAGGUACAUGGGGUAUGGACAUGGGCUAGACAGAGAGCCACACUGAAUCUUGAAAAUAAGAGAAGGAGGGAGAACUACUUCUUGAGAGUUGGCGCAGAAAGUAGCAGAAACAAAAUUGUAAACAAAGAUGCGUAAAUCAAC